rnacentral:lncRNA from 1 species
CGACUGUACAGGGGCUACUCCUGCAUCAUCCAACCCCUCCGAACCCCUACACCAUGGCUGUGGCUGCGCGACACACGGUAAGGGAAGCCUGCUCUAUACCUCUCCCCAUGAGCCCCUGCCCUCACAGCCUGAGCCAAACCUACUUUACUUCUCAUGGUCUGCUCCUAGGACUUGGAGGUGACAGUGUGUAAGGGGUAGAUGAGCUAGUCAGGAUCCAGUGUGCUUGGACUUCCUUUACAGUCUUUGGCUUCUUAACAGGCAGAUACCACAGUAACCUACACCACAGCCUUUGACCCCGACAGCACUGGGCAGCAGGUGUGGCAGGACCUACUUCAAGAUGGACAGCUGGACUCCCCUGCUGGUGACGGGGGGCUUGACUGGGAGGGGUUGGGAAGAAAGGCUCUGUCCUGUCUUAGGACCAGGGUGGAAGACCUGAAAA